AGCGAACGCUGGCGGCAGGCCUAACACAUGCAAGUCGAACGGAUCCUUCGGGAUUAGUGGCGGACGGGUGAGUAACACGUUGGAACGUGCCCUUUGGUUCGGCACAACUCAGGGAAACUUGAGCUAAUACCGGAUGUGCCCUUCCGGGGAAAGAUUUAUCGCCAUUGGAGCGGCCCGCGUCUGAUUAGCUAGUUGGUGAGGUAACGGCCCACCAAGGCGACGAUCAGUAGCUGGUCUGAGAGGAUGAUCAGCCACACUGGGAGUGAGACACGGCCCAGACUCCUACGGGAGGCAGCAGUGGGGAAUCUAGCGCAAUGGGCGAAAGGCUGACGCAGCCAUGACGCGUGAAUGAUGAAGGUCUUAGGAUUGUAAAAUUAUUUCAGCGGGGACGAUAAUGACGGUACCCGCAGAAGAAGCUCCGGCUAACUUCGUG
rnacentral:rRNA from 1 species